GACGUAGGGUGCGAGCGUUGUCCGGAUUUAUUGGGCGUAAAGAGCUCGUAGGCGGCUCGUCGCGUCGACCGUGAAAACCUGCAGCUUAACUGUGGGCGUGCGGUCGAUACGGGCAUCACUGGAGUUCGGCAGGGGAGACUGGAAUUCCUGGUGUAGCGGCGAAAUGCGCAGAUAUCAGGAGGAACACCGGUGGCGAAGGCGGGUCUCUGGGCCGAUACUGACGCUGAGGAGCGAAAGCGUGGGGAGCGAACAGG
rnacentral:rRNA from 1 species